CGCUGUUUACCUUGGCUGCCCGCGUGGCAGUUUUACAGAUAUUAAAUACCGACCCGGGGGUGAGCGGGGCUCCUCGCUACGUGCGCUCGCCGGGGGCCGGCCGGGCAUCCCAACCCGGACGCCCACGCCACGGGAUCCUUAUGCUGGGCUAAAAAAGCCAUCUUGCACUUUGCAAGGCUCUGCUGACUGCUGCCUAAAAUGACACACGGGGCUCCUCCUGCCCUUUCCCCCACCUCGUCCCACCUACCGAAAGGGCGAAGGAAAGGCGUGAGCAGGGAGCCCUCUUCUGAGGAAGGAGCCUCAGCCUGCAGCUUCCCAACCACUGACCACCUGCGGUGUGCCCUGGGGACCAGCCUGGAUGCUCCUCCUCGUGGUCAGUGUCCAGGGACACCUCCUGGCCUUGCCUUGUGCCACAGUAGGUGCCAUGGGGUUGGACUUCAGACCCCCUGCUCCUGGUCCCUUCUCUCCAGCGGUGCGGGGAAGAACUGCUCCAUCUGCAGCACAGGGCAGUGA
rnacentral:lncRNA from 1 species